ACGAUCGAUCGAUUGAUCGAUGUGGUUCAAGGCUGCGAUCCAGGGCGGCAAGGCGCGGCGGGGAGGAUACCUGGCGAAUUUGGAGGCCACAUUCGCAGCGCCGGGUCGAGAAUCUGGCAUGGGCUACUGGGAGCGGCUGCAAGGGCACACCCGGAUCCAGAAAUGGCGGCACCAGAAAUCGCGAGAAUCGGCGCUGGCGGAGGAGGACGAAGACGCGGGGAUCCGGGAGGAGCAGCGGCGGCGGCGGCACAGGAACCUGGCGGCGGUGGACGAGGACGAGGAUCUGGAGAAGCGAAUGCCGCGGCUCUACAAGUGUAGCAAGCCCAAGAUCAUCGCGGGCAAGAGAGAGCUCUACGAUCUCCUCUUCAGCUAUGGCUUCGCCAACACCCUGGGAAGAGCCGAGGCGAGCUGGGAUUUCCUGGAGCUGGAGGACGAGGAGAUUGUGGACUACUACGCUCACGUCGCGCGGGGGAUCUUGGAUUACUUCCAGUGCUGCGACAACUUCCAGGAGAUCAAGCCAUACGUGGACUACCACCUCCGCUUCUCGUGCCUCUUCACGCUGUCCAAGAAGUAUGACGAGCACCCCCAGGUGAUCUACCGCCGCUUCUCGAAGGAGCUGCUCGUCCCAGUGAUCGAUGGCGAUGGUGAACUGGUGGAGAAGCAGGCGUAUCCAUCGUCGCUGGAGAUCAAGAAGAUGAAACGAGGCUACUCGCCCAAGUCUUGGAUCGAUCUCUACUGCCCCCUCAAGUGAGUGAUCCGGUAGCUCUCCCUGGGUUGCGAUCGACGAGAAAAUCUGGCUGGCUGAACUGCUUGGAUCAUCCAUCAUCCAUCGAGGCGGACGUAGACCAGCUGGGAGUAAUCGCCAAACUGCCAUGGCUCGAGCUGGGAGAGGCCCAUGGCGUCGAACACUACGCUGUCCUCGUCACCCAGGAGUGGCGGCGGAGUUCUCGCGGGAUCGUAUGAGCGCUGCUUGCUCAAUCCGGGGCUUGCCACUGGCGGGAGCUCCCAGUAAGUCUGUAGCAUGGAUUCGAAGAUCCCGUGGUUGCUGGCAUGAUCCCGGUGAGUGAUGUAGACGCUGGCGCGAUCGGGCUUGUCGCGCAUCUGGCCCCGGACACCCCACCACUCUCCUUUGCUGCUGCAAAUCUCCGAGAUCUCGAUGGCACGGUCCCAGGAUUUCUUGCGCUGGGAUCUCGCUGCGGCCUCGCGGCUGUCGAUCGAGCAAUUGUGGCCACCACCUGGAUGAUCGUGACGAUCGUCCGGUGUGAUCACAAGAAGCAAAAACUUGUCGGAGAGAGUACGCCUCCCCGGAGCCAGUGUCGGAGUUAUUCGCAAAGAUGAGAUGCUGGAAGCCAGCGUUCUUCGCUUGGAGCACUCUAUAGUAGAAGGAAAGCGAGAAUCAGAGGGAAGACACGACUGGCAUACCUCUUGAAUUGGUUCUGGUGAUCAUCGAAGACGAGCAGGAUCUUGGUCUUGCGGACGCUUGGAUUGAGAAGAUUGUCCCAGUCGAGAUUCCCGAAA